ACCUAAACCCGAUGGUAAUGAAAAGCUUUGGUGUGGCGGAGUUUAAAAGCACGGGCAAAAAGCUUGUAAUGCACAGCGGGGCUGCAG
rnacentral:sRNA from 1 species